AGAGUUUGAUCCUGGCUCAGGAUAAACGCUGGCGGCGUGCCUAACACAUGCAAGUCGAACGCUCUGCGCAAGCAGAGAGUGGCGGACGGGUGAGGAACACGUGGGUCAUCUACCUUUGGGUGAGGAAUACCGGCGAGAAAUCGCCGACAAUACCGCAUAGGUUUGGCGACAAACAAAGCCUCUUCGGAGGUGCCUGAAGA
rnacentral:rRNA from 1 species